GACCUGCGGAAGGAUCAUUAUUGAAUGAAUGUAGAGUUGGUUGUCGCUGGCCCUUUCGGGGGUAUGUGCACGCCUUCUCUUUCAUCCACACACACCUGUGCACUUGUGAGACGGAGGGCUUUAAUUAGUCUUCCGUCUAUUCAACCACACAAACUCAUUGUAUUUAAACUGAAUGUAAUUGAUGUAACGCAUCAUUAGAACGAAAUGCGAUAAGUAAUGUGAAUUGCAGAAUUCAGUGAAUCAUCGAAUCUUUGAACGCACCUUGCGCUCCUUGGUAUUCCUUGGAGCAUGCCUGUUUGAGUAUCAUGAAAUUCUCAAAGUAAAUCUUUUGUUAAUUCAACUGGUUUUGCUUUGGACUUGGAGGUCUUUGCAGAUUUCACGUCUGCUCCUCUUAAAUGCAUUAGCUGGAUCUCAGUAUAUGCUUGGUUCCACUCGGCGUGAUAAGUAUCACUCGCUGAGGACACUGUAAAAGGUGGCCAGGAAAUACAGAUGAACCGCUUCUAAUAGUCUAUUAAGUUAGACAAUUAAUUUUAAGAUCUGUCUCAAAAGGUAGGACUACCCGCUGAACUUAAGCAUAUCAAUA
rnacentral:rRNA from 1 species